CGAACGCUGGCGGCGUGCUUAACACAUGCAAGUCGAACGGAAAGGCCCUGCUUUUGUGGGGUGCUCGAGUGGCGAACGGGUGAGUAACACGUGAGUAACCUGCCCUUGACUUUGGGAUAACUUCAGGAAACUGGGGCUAAUACCGGAUAGGAGCUCCUGCUGCAUGGUGGGGGUUGGAAAGUUUCGGCGGUUGGGGAUGGACUCGCGGCUUAUCAGCUUGUUGGUGGGGUAGUGGCUUACCAAGGCUUUGACGGGUAGCCGGCCUGAGAGGGUGACCGGCCACAUUGGGACUGAGAUACGGCCCAGACUCCUACGGGAGGCAGCAGUGGGGAAUAUUGCACAAUGGGCGGAAGCCUGAUGCAGCAACGCCGCGUGCGGGAUGACGGCCUUCGGGUUGUAAACCGCUUUCGCCUGUGACGAAGCGUGAGUGACGGUAAUGGGUAAAGAAGCACCGGCUAACUACGUGCCAGCAGCCGCGGUGAUACGUAGGGUGCGAGCGUUGUCCGGAUUUAUUGGGCGUAAAGGGCUCGUAGGUGGUUGAUCGCGUCGGAAGUGUAAUCUUGGGGCUUAACCCUGAGCGUGCUUUCGAUACGGGUUGACUUGAGGAAGGUAGGAGAGAAUGGAAUUCCUGGUGGAGCGGUGGAAUGCGCAGAUAUCAGGAGGAACACCAGUGGCGAAGGCGGUUUCUCUGGGCCUUUCCUGACGCUGAGGAGCGAAAGCGUGGGGAGCGAACAGGCUUAGAUACCCUGGUAGUCCACGCUGUAAACGGUGGGUACUAGGUGUGGGGUCCAUUCCACGGGUUCCGUGCCGUAGCUAACGCUUUAAGUACCCCGCCUGGGGAGUACGGCCGCAAGGCUAAAACUCAAAGGAAUUGACGGGGCCCCGCACAAGCGGCGGAGCAUGCGGAUUAAUUCGAUGCAACGCGUAGAACCUUACCUGGGUUUGACAUGGAUCGGGAGUGCUCAGAGAUGGGUGUGCCUCUUUUGGGGUCGGUUCACAGGUGGUGCAUGGCUGUCGUCAGCUCGUGUCGUGAGAUGUUGGGUUAAGUCCCGCAACGAGCGCAACCCUUGUUCACUGUUGCCAGCACGUUAUGGUGGGGACUCAGUGGAGACCGCCGGGGUCAACUCGGAGGAAGGUGGGGAUGACGUCAAGUCAUCAUGCCCCUUAUGUCCAGGGCUUCACGCAUGCUACAAUGGCUGGUACAGAGAGUGGCGAGCCUGUGAGGGUGAGCGAAUCUCGGAAAGCCGGUCUCAGUUCGGAUUGGGGUCUGCAACUCGACCUCAUGAAGUCGGAGUCGCUAGUAAUCGCAGAUCAGCAACGCUGCGGUGAAUACGUUCCCGGGGCUUGUACACACCGCCCGUCAAGUCAUGAAAGUUGGUAACACCCGAAGCCGGUGGCCUAACCGUUGUGGGGGAGCCGUCGAAGGUGGGACUGGUGAUUAGGAC
rnacentral:rRNA from 1 species